GAUGAAGAACGUAGCGAAUUGCGAUAAGUAAUGUGAAUUGCAGAAUUCAGUGAAUCAUCGAAUCUUUGAACGCACAUUGCGCCCCCUGGUAUUCCGGGGGGCAUGCCUGUCCGAGCGUCAUUACAACCCUCAAGCUCAGCUUGGUGUUGGGCCCCGCCGCCCCGGCGGGCCCUAAAGUCAGUGGCGGUGCCGUCCGGCUCCGAGCGUAGUAAUUCUUCUCGCUCUGGAGGUCCGGUCGUGUGCUCGCCAGCAACCCCCAAUUUUUUUCAGGUUGACCUCGGAUCAGGUAGGGAUACCCGCUGAACUUAAGCAUAUCAAUAAGCGGAGGA
rnacentral:misc_RNA from 1 species